rnacentral:rRNA from 1 species
GGGGAAUCUUCCGCAAUGGACGAAAGUCUGACGGAGCAACGCCGCGUGAGUGAUGACGGCCUUCGGGUUGUAAAGCUCUGUUAAUCGGGACGAAUGGUUCUUGUGCGAAUAGUGCGAGGAUUUGACGGUACCGGAAUAGAAAGCCACGGCUAACUACGUGCCAGCAGCCGCGGUAAUACGUAGGUGGCAAGCGUUGUCCGGAAUUAUUGGGCGUAAAGCGCGCGCAGGCGGAUUGGUCAGUCUGUCUUAAAAGUUCGGGGCUUAACCCCGCGAUGGGAUGGAAACUGCCAAUCUAGAGUAUCGGAGAGGAAAGUGGAAUUCCUAGUGUAGCGGUGAAAUGCGUAGAUAUUAGGAAGAACACCAGUGGCGAAGGCGACUUUCUGGACGAAAACUGACGCUGAGGCGCGAAAGCCAGGGGAGCGAACGGGAUUAGAUACCCCGGUAGUCCUGGCCGUAAACGAUGGGUACUAGGUGUAGGAGGUAUCGACCCCUUCUGUGCCGGAGUUAACGCAAUAAGUACCCCGCCUGGGGAGUACGACCGCAAGGUUG